GGAGGCUUUCGUCCACCCACAGAAGAAGAUCAAGUGAUGCCACGUCUCUUCCUGUAUUCUCAUGUAAAUCAACCAACUCACUCGUUCUUAUAGAUCGUCACUCUCUUUGGAGAGCGGAGGGAGGAGGGAGGGAAAGGAGGAAUGGCCGUAUCGAAUAACAGGGCGCCUUUAACAUUGCAGAUUGGUAGCAACAGUAACAGCCUUAACCUGGUUGGUCUUCAUCUUUCAUGCGAUUGGAUCCCCAGAAGCAGGAGGUGCCGGCCCAACCAACGAUCCCUCGUGGUAAGAAGCGAGUCCAGAGGACAAGAAGAAAGGACCAAGCAGCAGCAGCAGCAGUCACCUCUGACCUUAGAGGAUGUGAACCCGGUGGGUCUGGGGCGGAGGUCGAGACAGAUGUUCGAUGAAGUGUGGAGGAAGUUCUCGGAAUUGGGUCAGAUUUCAAGGACCCGCGAGUCGGAGACCGAUGAUGGCCUGCUUCUAAAGGACGGGCCUAGCUGCGAAUUCAGCGUUCCUGGCGCGCCGGACACGACGGUGCUUGUCGUCGGAGCCACUAGCAGGGUCGGACGGGUACUCGUCAGGAAACUGAUGAUCAGGGGAUACAAGGUCAAGGCUUUAGUGAGGAAGGACGACCAGACUGUGAUCGACAUGCUCCCGAGGUCAGUGGGGCUUGUAGUAGGUGAUGUAGGUGAACCGUCGACUCUCCGGGCUGCCGUCGAAGGCUGCAACAAGAUCAUCUACUGUGCAACAGCUCGUUCUGCCAUCACUGGGGACCUCAACAGGGUUGAUUAUCAAGGGGUGGCCAACGUCUCCAAGGCCUUUCAGGACUACAACAAUAGACUAGCCCAACUGCGGGCUGGUAAAAGUAGCAAAAGCAAGUUGUUGAUUGCAAAAUUUAAAUCCCCUGAGUGCUUGGAAGGAUGGGAAGCUCGAAAAGGAACCUAUUUUCAGGACGUUAUCGCAACCAAAUAUGAAGGAGGGAUGGAUGCCAAGUUUGAGUUUACAGAAAUAGGCAGCGCAGUCUUCUCAGGAUACGUCUAUUCAAGAGGUGGAUAUGUGGAGCUGUCAAAACGUCUUUCACUUCCACUGGGUAGAACUCUUGACAGGUAUGAUGGCCUGGUUUUUUCUCUAGGAGGCAAUGGUCGAUCAUAUGUUAUAAUUCUUGAAGCUGGACCCAUGGCAGAUACAUCUCAAAGCAAAUUAUAUUUUGCCCGAAUAAAUACCAAAGUUGGCUUCUGCAGGGUGAGAGUGCCAUUUUCUGCAUUCCGUUCAGUAAAGCCAGACGACCCUCCAUUGGAUCCUUUCCUUGUACAUACAUUAACUAUUCGUUUUGAACCUAGGCGACAGAGGCAAGUUGAAGCAUCCAAUGGAGUAUCCCAGGACCUUAGGAGCUUCAAGUUGAUAAUUGAAUAUAUAAAAGCAUUACCUACGGGCUCAGAGACAGAUUUUAUACUCAUUUCUUGCACUGGAUAUGGAAUUGAGUCUACUCGAAGAGAACAAGUUCUUAGAGCCAAAAAGGCUGGGGAGGAUUCACUUAGGAGAUCUGGCCUUGGUUACACCAUUAUACGUCCGGGUCCUUUGCAGGAAGAACCUGGAGGCCAGCGUGCUCUCAUAUUUGAUCAAGGCAACAGAAUUUCUCAGGGAAUUAGCUGUGCUGAUGUGGCUGACAUAUGUGUGAAGGCACUGCAUGAUACAACAGCAAGAAACAAAAGCUUUGAUGUAUGUUAUGAAUAUGUCGCUGAACAAGGAAACGAGCUCUAUGAGUUGGUUGAAUAAUCACGGACAUGUUUUUUCGACUGAGAUUUUUAAUCGGAAGCUCAUGCCUAUGACCGGCAGUCAAUAGCUGAAGGGCGUGAACUUUCACAGAAGGCAUUGAGAAAUCAAAAUUUGCACUUAUGUUUGUGUAGCACAUCUGCCAGAUAAAGCUAACAACUAUUUGGCACCGGCCCUUUCGGUUCUGGAGAAGAACACUUGAACUCAUUAAGGCUUUGUCCCUUUUGUAUGUCCCAUAUCCCUAGUUUCUCUUGUCAACCGUACGAGCAUUUCAGCCUGUAAUUCUUUUAUAUCCUGCACUAGUUUCUCUUGUCAACCGUACGAGCAUUUCAGCCUGUAAUUCUUUUAUAUCCUGCACAUUGUAGGCCUUGCCAUGGUUGUGCAUAAUUCACCGGCACAAAUGUACAUAUGGUCCGGAAUAAUGUCUAAUAUUGGGGGGUUUUCUAUGGCAAAUAUCUUAAAUUA